AUAUUUUUGAAAAUUUCCUUCUUAUCUUUUGGGAAUAUAAAAUGUCAGCACUAUUUUUGCAUUAUUUUUUCAAUUUUAUGAAAAGUAAGAAAAACUAAAAGUUACUAGUCAAAAUAACAAUUUGCUCAUAAAGGAAAAUAUUUUUGUAAUUUUCAUUGUAAAGAUAAACUAAAGCAAAAAGUCAAAAAUAAUCAAAAUACUGAUACUAGACGUAAAAUAAAUAUCUAAAUACUAAAAUGAGUAAAUUUUCAGGUAUGGUUAAAAAUUACAUGUCUACAAAUACUGAACUGAAUACCUUAAACAUACCAAGGCCUUUCUGAUACUCGGGUUGCUUUAAACACACAAAUAACAAAACACAAUGCUAAAAAUUGGAGAUUAACAUACUGAAUCAAUUAUAUUAUCUACGUACCGUGUAAAACACUGAAUAUUAGCUAGAUUAAUUGAACAUAAUAACCUUGAGUCAUGACAUGUUAUUUAAGAGAAAAGACUUCAGCUAACCUUGGCUUUAAAAGAAAAAAAUAACAACUACCAUUGUUAAUACUUAGUUAUGAAUUGUCAAAUGAUUGUAGGCCAGCAAACCCUAGUAAAGACCACAUAAACUACUAUAGUUGUUUGAUAGUUUUAAAAUUAUCAAAAAACCAUACAUGGCAUAACUAAGCUAACCUGAUCAUUCAUAUUAAUACUAAGUUUAGGUUAAACAUCCAGAUUCAGAAUAUUUACAAAAACAAAAUGCUAAACCAAAUAAACUGCAAAUAACAUACAUUUUUGACAAAGAUGAAAUUAUAACUUUAACGCCCAAACUCGCUACAAAAAACAUACAUAUGAAGCUAUAACUUUAACACUCAACCUAUUAUUACAAAACAAGCUAAAACAUGCUUUACAUCCUCAUUUGCCAUUCUGAAGUUCAUAAGAGUACCUGGAUACCAAUAACAAAACAAGAAUGAGGCAAGAAUUUCAGCAAACAAAUGAGUGAGGACAACAGCAAAUCAACAACAGGGCACAACUUCAAAUUAGUCCAUAUUCAACCCAAAAAAAAAACCAAAAACUCAGCAGAAGUUUCUAAAUCCUUGUUAAGAACCUCAGAAAGGAAUAAACUAACUCCUAAUGAAAUAGUGCAGAAAAAAACUUUUUAAUCUUUAUGGGGGUCUGAAAGUCUAUAUCCGUCUGUCAAAUGAAUGAAGAAAAGGUGCUUUUUAUAGGUUUCAAUGUCAUGUGCUAGAAAAUUAUUUUGGAAAUUUCCCCUAUCAACCUGAAAAGGGCAUCUUGUAACAACCUGGGACAACUGGCUCCCCCUCAUUGGUUUCAGCAUUUUGUGCUAACCAAAUGAGGUCAGCUGCCCCCUAUUCUAAAACCUUCCACCUUAGUCUGGGCCAAUUGCCCUGGCCAACUCACGGCCAAAUGGCCUCAAAUAGGCCCAAGUGCAAUAACAAAGUUCAAUAGCAAUCAGGCCUUAACUGAUCAGGCCUUAAUUGGCAAAAACAGAACCAAAUAUCAAAUUAAACAAAAAUCAUCACUAAUUACCCUAGCAAAAUCAUUUGAACCUUCUGAACAUAAUUAGCUAACAAUUAAAUCUAAAUAAAUAGCAGAAAAUCUAAGAGGUCUGCAAUAUUAAGCAUAACUUUAUUUAAAUUACCCUAAAACAUAUUGUAAUUAGCCAUUCACACCUCCUUUUUACCACCCAAGGGGGUAUAUAAGGGAGUUUUUUCAAUUAAAGUGAUAUAAAUCGAAAUGGGAUUACUUUAUUUAUUUUCAAAGUCGUCACUUGGGAUAAUUUAUUUGAUGUCCAAAACCGGUUUAUUUUUAAAUCUCAAAUCGAGGAGAAUCGACUUUAUUUAAAAGUCUGCGAAACCAGAAAUCUAAUAAGGAAUUCUGUUAACCCGGGAGAAGGUGUUAGGCAUUCUCGGAUUCCGUAAUUUUAGCGCGGUUGCUUAGCAAUUUAUACUCGGCUUAUUUUGUCUAAUUACUCAUUUUAGGACCUAUGUUUAUUUUAUCUUUUACCGCUAUUAAUACUUGAUAAUCCAUAUUUAAAGAAUUAACUUAAGAUGAGUUACGCGUACGUAUACUCAUUCCGUUUGGCGUGUCAAAAAUUAUGUCACGCGUAUGUGUCCACAAUUAAUCACACUUUAUUAUUAUUAAGAAUAUUUGGCUAAGGUUGCGCGAAUAUAUUUUCUCAAGCAGCACUCAAGAUGCCAUAAGAAAGUUGUUGUGACACAAUGGGUCAUACAAGUCAUGACAAGCCAUGAUCAUUGUAAAGACAUAACCUAGCUGUAUUGAAUUAUCCUAAAAUCCAAAUUCAUGGAAUCCAAAACCUAAAUUGCCAAAUAUUCAGGAAACGCAAAUUUGGAAUGGUAUCUCUGCAGUAUAAAAUAGUGAUUGAACACUAUUUUGACCAGUGUUUAUAAUCUACUAUCUUGUUUUACAUAAUAUGCAGAUCAUAUCAAUGUAUAUAAUACAAAACAAUUCUAUUUAAACAAAAAAUAGGAACACCCCCCUCCCCCUUAAAAUAGACUUCAAUUUGCAGUGCACAUGAACAUACAUCUAGCAAAAGAACGCCAAAACAGUAAAAAUCUAAAUUUUCGCAUUUCAUGGCAAAACAAAAGAAUUGAUCCUUUUUUUUUUACAGAACAAGAACUUGAAUUCAAAGAUGAAUACCUGAUUAUGCGCGAACUACUCUAUGCGUACCAAAUAAAGGCUAGACAGAAGGGAAAAUGAAGCUCGGCAAGACAAAACUAGCUACGACAACAGGGAUAGCAGAAGAGAGCUUAUAUUCUCAGUUGAAAAUUUGAUUGAGGAACCAGAAUUUGUAUAAAAAUACAGUAGAAAAAUGCAACAACUUUAUAAUCUCUUUCCAUGAUGUUUCUUUGGAUUUUUCUCUAUAAUUUUUCUUGUAUUUUUUAGAUUAGGAAUCCUAAGUUUGUCCACUACUUCCUCUCUCUUGUGUAUGUGGUUGUCUUCUAGGGUAAUCAAAGGGGUACAUGGCUGAUCUCUAAGGGUUAGGGAUUUUAGGUCUUAGGUCUAUUUUUGGAGAAGAUGAUGAAGAAGAAAGGAGGGGAUGGUCGUUUGUCUAUGUUCAAGAGCAGAGAGGAGUCGUUCAUCUCUCUUUAGAGAGGGGGAGAUCUGAUAUUAUCUCUAGGUCUAAGAAAAUAUUUUUUUAUAUGUAGGAGGUAGGAUUUUAGUAAAGGGUAAUGGCUAUUUGGGUAGUGAGCUGAGAUUGUAUGGGCU
rnacentral:lncRNA from 1 species